GUUAGAAACAAAUAAAGGUAGAAAGUUAGAAAGGUAGAAAGCAACAAAGGUAGAAAAAUAGAAAGGUAGCGACUCAGAACCAAACAAAGGUAG